UACGUAUGGUGCAAGCGUUAUCCGGAUUUACUGGGUGUAAAGGGAGCGCAGGCGGUGCGGCAAGUCUGAUGUGAAAGCCCGGGGCUCAACCCCGGGACUGCAUUGGAAACUACCGAACUAGAGUGUCGGAGAGGUAAGUGGAAUUCCUAGUGUAGCGGUGAAAUGCGUAGAUAUUAGGAGGAACACCAGUGGCGAAGGCGGCUUACUGGACGAUAACUGACGCUGAGGCUCGAAAGCGUG
rnacentral:rRNA from 1 species